UUAAUGUGGAAAUGAAUCAUCAAAGUUACAACGUUUGGGGGUCUACAACAAAAUUGGGAAACAUCUGUUGGUCCCUGAGGAGAGGUUUAAACCCCCUGCUGUAGGGAGUCCCUGAGGAGAGGUUUAAACCCCCUGCUGUAGGGAGUCCCUGAGGAGAGGUUUAAACCCCCUGCUGUAGGGAGUCCCUGAGGAGAGGUUUAAACCCCCUGCUGUAGGGAGUCCCUGAGGAGAGGUUUAAACCCCCUGCUGUAGGGAGUCCCUGAGGAGAGGUUUAAACCCCCUGCUGUAAGGAGUCCCUGAGGAGAGGUUUAAACCCCCUGCUGUAGGGAGUCCCUGAGGAGAGGUUUAAACCCCCUGCUGUAGGGAGUCCCUGAGGAGAGGUUUAAACCCCCUGCUGUAGGGAGUCCCUGAGGAGAGGAGUCCCUGAGGAGAGGUUUAAACCCCCUGCUGUAGGGAGUCCCUGAGGAGAGGUUUAAACCCCCUGCUGUAGGGAGUCCCUGAGGAGAGGUUUAAACCCCCUGCUGUAGGGAGUCCCUGAGGAGAGGAGUCCCUGAGGAGAGGUUUAAACCCCCUGCUGUAGGGAGUCCCUGAGGAGAGGAGUCCCUGAGGAGAGGUUUAAACCCCCUGCUGUAGGGAGUCCCUGAGGAGAGGUUUAAACCCCCUGCUGUAGGGAGUCCCUGAGGAGAGGUUUAAACCCCCUGCUGUAAGGAGUCCCUGAGGAGAGGUUUAAACCCCCUGCUGUAGGGAGUCCCUGAGGAGAGGUUUAAACCCCCUGCUGUAGGGAGUCCCUGAGGAGAGGUUUAAACCCCCUGCUGUAGGGAGUCCCUGAGGAGAGGAGUCCCUGAGGAGAGGUUUAAACCCCCUGCUGUAGGGAGUCCCUGAGGAGAGGUUUAAACCCCCUGCUGUAGGGAGUCCCUGAGGAGAGGAGUCCCUGAGGAGAGGAGUCCCUGAGGAGAGGUUUAAACCCCCUGCUGUAGGGAGUCCCUGAGGAGAGGAGUCCCUGAGGAGAGGUUUAAACCCCCUGCUGUAGGGAGUCCCUGAGGAGAGGUUUAAACCCCCUGCUGUAGGGAGUCCCUGAGGAGAGGUUUAAACCCCCUGCUGUAAGGAGUCCCUGAGGAGAGGUUUAAACCCCCUGCUGUAGGGAGUCCCUGAGGAGAGGAGUCCCUGAGGAGAGGUUUAAACCCCCUGCUGUAGGGAGUCCCUGAGGAGAGGUUUAAACCCCCUGCUGUAAGGAGUCCCUGAGGAGAGGUUUAAACCCCCUGCUGUAGGGAGUCCCUGAGGAGAGGAGUCCCUGAGGAGAGGUUUAAACCCCCUGCUGUAGGGAGUCCCUGAGGAGAGGUUUAAACCCCCUGCUGUAGGGAGUCCCUGAGGAGAGGUUUAAACCCCCUGCUGUAAGGAGUCCCUGAGGAGAGGUUUAAACCCCCUGCUGUAGGGAGUCCCUGAGGAGAGGUUUAAACCCCCUGCUGUAGGGAGUCCCUGAGGAGAGGAGUCCCUGAGGAGAGGUUUAAACCCCCUGCUGUAGGGAGUCCCUGAGGAGAGGUUUAAACCCCCUGCUGUAGGGAGUCCCUGAGGAGAGGUUUAAACCCCCUGCUGUAAGGAGUCCCUGAGGAGAGGUUUAAACCCCCUGCUGUAGGGAGUCCCUGAGGAGAGGUUUAAACCCCCUGCUGUAGGGAGUCCCUGAGGAGAGGUUUAAACCCCCUGCUGUAGGGAGUCCCUGAGGAGAGGUUUAAACCCCCUGCUGUAAGGAGUCCCUGAGGAGAGGAGUCCCUGAGGAGAGGUUUAAACCCCCUGCUGUAGGGAGUCCCUGAGGAGAGGAGUCCCUGAGGAGAGGUUUAAACCCCCUGCUGUAGGGAGUCCCUGAGGAGAGGUUUAAACCCCCUGCUGUAGGGAGUCCCUGAGGAGAGGUUUAAACCCCCUGCUGUAGGGAGUCCCUGAGGAGAGGAGUCCCUGAGGAGAGGUUUAAACCCCCUGCUGUAGGGAGUCCCUGAGGAGAGGUUUAAACCCCCAGCUGUAGGGAGUCCCUGAGGAGAGGUUUAAACCCCCUGCUGUAGGGAGUCCCUGAGGAGAGGAGUCCCUGAGGAGAGGUUUAAACCCCCUGCUGUAGGGAGUCCCUGAGGAGAGGUUUAAACCCCCUGCUGUAGGGAGUCCCUGAGGAGAGGUUUAAACCCCCUGCUGUAGGGAGUCCCUGAGGAGAGGUUUAAACCCCCUGCUGUAGGGAGUCCCUGAGGAGAGGUUUAAACCCCCUGCUGUAGGGAGUCCCUGAGGAGAGGUUUAAACCCCCUGCUGUAGGGAGUCCCUGAGGAGAGGUUUAAACCCCCUGCUGUAGGGAGUCCCUGAGGAGAGGUUUAAACCCCCUGCUGUAGGGAGUCCCUGAGGAGAGGAGUCCCUGAGGAGAGGAGUCCCUGAGGAGAGGUUUAAACCCCCUGCUGUAGGGAGUCCCUGAGGAGAGGUUUAAACCCCCUGCUGUAGGGAGUCCCUGAGGAGAGGUUUAAACCCCCUGCUGUAAAGAGUCCCUGAGGAGAGGUUUAAACCCCCUGCUGUAAAGAGUCCCUGAGGAGAGGUUUAAACCCC